UUAACACUGAGGCGUGAUGACGAGUCACUACGGUGAUGAAGUAACCAAUGCUACGCUUCCAGGAAAAGCCUCUAAGCUCCAGGUAACAUCAAAUCGUACCCCAAACCGACACAGGUGGUCAGGUAGAGAAUACUCAGGCGCUUGAGAGAACUCGGGUGAAGGAACUAGGCAAAAUGGUGCCGUAACUUCGGGAGAAGGCACGCUGGUGUGUAGGUGAAGUCCCUUGCGGAUGGAGCUGAAACCAGUCGAAGAUACCAGCUGGCUGCAACUGUUUAAUAAAAACACAGCACUGUGCAAACACGAAAGUGGACGUAUACGGUGUGACGCCUGCCCGGUGCCGGAAGGUUAAUUGAUGGGGUCAGCCGCAAGGCGAAGCUCUUGAUCGAAGCCCCGGUAAACGGCGGCCGUAACUAUAACGGUCCUAAGGUAGCGAAAUUCCUUGUCGGGUAAGUUCCGACCUGCACGAAUGGCGUAAUGAUGGCCAGGCUGUCUCCACCCGAGACUCAGUGAAAUUGAACUCGCUGUGAAGAUGCAGUGUACCCGCGGCAAGACGGAAAGACCCCGUGAACCUUUACUAUAGCUUGACACUGAACCUUGAGCCUUGAUGUGUAGGAUAGGUGGGAGGCUUUGAAGUGUGGACGCCAGUCUGCAUGGAGCCAACCUUGAAAUACCACCCUUUAAUGUUUGAUGUUCUAACGUGGACCCGUAAUCCGGGUUGCGGACAGUGUCUGGUGGGUAGUUUGACUGGGGCGGUCUCCUCCCAAAGCGUAACGGAGGAGCACGAAGGUUAGCUAAUCCUGGUCGGACAUCAGGAGGUUAGUGCAAAGGCAUAAGCUAGCUUGACUGCGAGAGUGACAGCUCGAGCAGGUGCGAAAGCAGGUCUUAGUGAUCCGGUGGUUCUGAAUGGAAGGGCCAUCGCUCAACGGAUAAAAGGUACUCCGGGGAUAACAGGCUGAUACCGCCCAAGAGUUCAUAUCGACGGCGGUGUUUGGCACCUCGAUGUCGGCUCAUCACAUCCUGGGGCUGAAGUAGGUCCCAAGGGUAUGGCUGUUCGCCAUUUAAAGUGGUACGCGAGCUGGGUUUAGAACGUCGUGAGACAGUUCGGUCCCUAUCUGCCGUGGGCGUUGGAAGAUUGAGAGGGGUUGCUCCUAGUACGAGAGGACCGGAGUGAACGCACCACUGGUGUACGGGUUGUGAUGCCAAUUGCAUUGCCCGGUAGCUAAGUGCGGAAGAGAUAACCGCUGAAAGCAUCUAAGCGGGAAACUUGCCUCGAGAUGAGUCUUCCCUGGACACUUGAUGUCCCUGAAGGGCCGUUGAAGACGACGACGUAGAUAGGCUGGGUGUGUAAGCGUAGCGAUACGUUGAGCUGACCAGUACUAAUGACCCGAGAGGCUUAACCUUACAACACCGAAGGUGUUU
rnacentral:rRNA from 2 species